CCAGCCUGGGCGACAGAGCGAGACGCCAUCUCAAAAAAAAAAAAAGAAAAGAAAAAGAAAAAAUACAAAGGAAGUUACAGUUUUUGCCCCUGUGAGUAGGAGUGGGUCAAAUAUGACCCUGCCAUGAAAGCCAAUCAGUUUCUUUCCUGGGAAUUUGAAUCUUGUACGGAGAGAUGUAUCAGGAACAAAGAUGUGUGGAACUGAAUCGCCUGAGGCAAUGCUCAGAGAUUCCUGGCACCUGGGAAGGGCUCGGUCUGGCUCCCAGGCUGAUAAGGCCUAGCUGUUUAGCUUUUCCUUUUGUUGAGUGAGCUUUCUGACAUUCUUCUAGUGGAUUCCUUUUUCACUCGAGCAAGUCAGAUUUGUUUUCCAUAUUCUCCAACCCGGCAUCAUCCUGGAAGUGAAUGUGAGAUGAGAAGACAGCCAAGGCAUGGCCCCUGAGGGUCAGCAGACCGGCAAGAAAAGAGGAGCCUGCAGAGGAGAUAGAAAAGGAGGCUGUUGUGAAAGGUCCUGCUGCUUGAAUCAACUGUCAAAGGCAUCAACAGUCCCCAGUCAUGUUUCCAGAAAGCCAGUAGACAACUGGAAUUAUUUGCUGAGAUGACUGACUGACUGAUGGACUCACUGGCUCCUGUGGUGCAUUUCUUUGGCAAGAGGAUCUACAGUUCUCACCAGAUUCUCAAAGGAGUCUACGCCUGAAAACACGAGAUUCACCGAUAAGGUUCAACUUCCU
rnacentral:lncRNA from 1 species